ACACACGGAUAACAUACCGAAAGGUAUGCUAAUACGGGAUAAUAUAUUUGAGAGGCAUCUCUUAAAUAUCAAAGGUGAGCCAGUACAGGAUGGACCCGCGUCUGAUUAGCUAGUUGGUAAGGUAACGGCUUACCAAGGCAACGAUCAGUAGCCGACCUGAGAGGGUGAUCGGCCACAUUGGAACUGAGACACGGUCCAAACUCCUACGGGAGGCAGCAGUGGGGAAUAUUGCACAAUGGGCGAAAGCCUGAUGCAGCAACGCCGCGUGAGUGAUGAAGGCCUUCGGAUCGUAAAACUCUGUCCUCAAGGAAGAUAAUGACGGUACUUGAGGAGGAAGCCCCGGCUAACUACGUGCCAGCAGCCGCGGUAAUACGUAGGGGGCUAGCGUUAUCCGGAUUUACUGGGCGUAAAGGGUGCGUAGGCGGUCUUUCAAGUCAGGAGUGAAAGGCUACGGCUCAACCGUAGUAAGCUCUUGAAACUGGGAGACUUGAGUGCAGGAGAGGAGAGUGGAAUUCCUAGUGUAGCGGUGAAAUGCGUAGAUAUUAGGAGGAACACCAGUUGCGAAGGCGGCUCUCUGGACUGUAACUGACGCUGAGGCACGAAAGCGUGGGGAGCAAACAGGAUUAGAUACCCUGGUAGUCCACGCUGUAAACGAUGAGUACUAGGUGUCGGGGGUUACCCCCUUCGGUGCCGCAGCUA
rnacentral:rRNA from 1 species